GUCCCCAUAGCUCAAUGGAUAGAGCGCAUCCCCGCGGAGGAUGAUAUGGAAGUUCGACUCUUCCUGGGGACACUA
rnacentral:tRNA from 1 species